rnacentral:rRNA from 1 species
CAGUAGCCGCGGGAAUACGAAGGGGGCUAGCGUUGCUCGGAAUGACUGGGCGUAAAGGGCGCGUAGGCGGCGGCCAAAGUCAGGCGUGAAAUCUCUGGGCUCAACCCAGAGUCUGCAGGCGAAACUGUCGGGCUUGAGUAUGGGAGAGGUGAGUGGAAUUUCCGGUGUAGCGGUGAAAUGCGUAGAUAUCGGAAGGAACACCUGUGGCGAAAGCGGCUCACUGGACCAUAACUGACGCUGAUGCACGAAAGCUAGGGGAGCAAACAGGAUUAGAUACCCGAGUAGUCCCUGUCUCUUAUAC